rnacentral:rRNA from 1 species
UGCAUAUCAAAUAAGCGGAGGAAAAGAAACCAACAGGGAUUGCCUCAGUAACGGCGAGUGAAGCGGCAAGAGCUCAAAUUUGAAAGCUGGCCCCUUCGGGGUCCGCAUUGUAAUUUGCAGAGGAUGCUUCGGGAGCGGCCCCCAUCUAAGUGCCCUGGAACGGGCCGUCAUAGAGGGUGAGAAUCCCGUCUGGGAUGGGGUGCCCGCGCCCGUGUGAAGCUCCUUCGACGAGUCGAGUUGUUUGGGAAUGCAGCUCUAAAUGGGUGGUAAAUUUCAUCUAAAGCUAAAUACUGGCCGGAGACCGAUAGCGCACAAGUAGAGUGAUCGAAAGAUGAAAAGCACUUUGAAAAGAGAGUUAAACAGCACGUGAAAUUGUUGAAAGGGAAGCGCUUGCGACCAGACUCGCUCGCGGGGUUCAGCCGGCCUUCGGGCCGGUGUACUUCCCCGCGGGCGGGCCAGCGUCGGUUUGGGCGGCCGGUCAAAGGCCCUCGGAAUGUAACGCCCCCCGGGGCGUCUUAUAGCCGAGGGUGCCAUGCGGCCAGCCCGGACCGAGGAACGCGCUUCGGCUCGGACGCUGGCAUAAUGGUCGUAAGCGACCCGUCUUGAAACACGGACCA